rnacentral:rRNA from 1 species
UCGAAUCUUUGAACGCACAUUGCGCCCGUCAGUAUUCUGGCGGGCAUGCCUGUUCGAGCGUCAUUA